rnacentral:lncRNA from 1 species
CUCACCCUCACCGGCGCCGGCGAGCACCGCCUCAACCCCAACCUCCUCUCCUCCCUCCGGUCUGCCCUCUCCCGCCUCCAAGCCGACCCCUCCGCCUCCUCCUCCGCCCUCAUCACCACCGCCCACGGCAAGUUCUUCUCCAACGGCUACGACCUCGACUGGGCCCAGUCCUCCGAGCCCCGCCUCCAGCUCAUGUCAUCCGCCCUCCGCUCCCUCGUCCGCGACCUCAUCUGCCUCCCCAUGCCGACCAUCGCCGCCGUCACCGGCCACGCCUCCGCCGCCGGCACGACUACGUAGUCAUGCGGCGCGACCGGGGCCUCCUCUACAUGAGCGAGAGGGACAUCGGGCUGGUGAUAUCCAACUGGUUCAUGGCCUUGAUGAGGUCCAAGAUCGGCGACCCGAGGGCCCGGCGCGAGGCGAAACUGACUGCCGAGGACGGGGUGAGAAUGGGGAUUGUUGAGUCGGCCCAUGACGGCGCGGAGGCGACGGUGGUGGCAGCGGCCGAGCUGGGGGAGGCGUUGGUCGCGAGGAAGUGGGACGGACACGUGUACGCUGGGAAUCGGAGGGUGGUGCUGCGGGAGGUGCUGGAGGCCAUCGGAUCGAUGAGACGGUCAAGAAAGUGGCGGAGGAUAAGGCCUUGUCGAAAUUGUAGCUUGGCUUUCCCUUGAGGCCCGUUUGGAGUGAUCUUGUGAAAUCGUUCUGCCCGUUGGGCCCAUUAUCCGGUCCCACGAAAUAGUUCCCGAAAGUUGGUAUAAUAUACAAUAUUAUCUCUGGAUUUUUAACUUGUGCAACACGAUCCAUGAACUUGGGCCCAGAUAAAAUUUCUUCCAUAAACUUUUUUUUUUUUUUUUUGUAUUGAAAGGGGUGAAGCCCAGAAGUUACAACAAAACUCUCCUAACGAAGCUGGAUCCAACUUGAUCACCUAUCAAUAAAGGAUUCAAAUCUUUUGGUGGCCUCUCCAAGAUUAAGGUGUCAUUCACAUCACACGAGUAAAUGGCCCAAUUUGCUAACCAAUUAGCACAUGAGUUUCCUUCCCUAAAGUUAUGUAGAAUAUGAAUAUGCUGGAAAUAGAUUAAAAGUUUUCGAAUAUGAGAAAUAAGCAUGUCGCCAAAGUUGAGAGUGUGAGUUGAUUUCUGGAGUAGUGAAAUAGCGGCUUGUGAGUCCGCCUCCACGAUAAGUUUGGGGAUACCCAAAGAAAUUGCCAAUUUUCAAUUUGGUCAUUGAAAUAUUGAAAAAUGUUCAAUAUAGUCCUUCUAUUUGCUCAAACGACAACUUAGAUGAUAAUUGAUAACGUAAAUUAUUAUAUACUGAGUUGGGUUUCUAAAAAUAACAAGUCAACAUUGUCUAUCCUUUUAUCCGUCUAUUUUAUCAAAUGAAAGAAACAAAUUAGGGAUUUUUUUCUUUUCUGAUUAAAGAUGAAUACACGUGUAACUUUUAUUUCUAUCCAUAAAUCAAACUUAACAAUUUGGAAGCCAAACAGUAUGUUCCGUUAAUUUGAAUUAAUGAAACAAUGAUAUAAAAUAUCUUAAUGUAGUUUAAGGACUUUAUGAAACAUUUAUCAAUGGUUCAGAGAUUAUGUUGAAUAAAUUAAAAUUUUAGGGAUAGUUUAGGGAUGAUAUUAUGUGUUGAACCAAAGUUCAGAAAUUAUUUGCAUCAUUUUCCUUUGUAAAUGUAUGAGAUGUCUAAAUAUUGCAGUAUAAUAAGGUGGCAAAACAGGAACUAUAAUCAAAUUGUGUGUGCCACUUUUUUUUUUGUGUCCGAUCUUUUCUUACAUCUAUUUUACAAGCCAUUUUGUAUGCUAUAUGCUAUGCGCAGAUUGUGAAAUCCUACUCCUUCACUCAUACAUCCCCACCCUAGCUUUUCGAGAAGUCCCACCUCCCCCUUCCCAAGUAGAAAGGGUUGCCACUAAGGCAACCUGUGGCUUGAUCAUGUGCGGCACUUGAAAAGUGAAUAAUUAACAAUUUUCCUUUUUGCAAUUAUAUGCUAAUACCAAUAUAUUUUGUCAUGUACUUAUAAACGAGAUCCCUUCUAUGUGGUUUGUUCAUAAUUUGUUAAUGAGAAAUGUUCAAAAGCUACCAUGGCAUGGAUGUUGCAAUUUUCUGGGAAAACUUAUCAAAAUAGUUCUAAAUCUAUUGCACUUAUAUUAAUUUAGUUUUAAAUCUUUUAAUUUGGUCAAUUUAUUCUUAACUAUUUUGACAAUUUACCAAUGUAGCACAUCUGAUCAAUUUUGAGUGAAAAUCGAUGACGUAGACACCAAUCGUUUUACAUGGCAUCGUCAGCAUUAACGUGGACAAUUUUUUGCAUUUUCUUUAAUUUUUUGUUUUUAAAAUUUUAAUUUAUUUAUUUAUUUCCUUUAUUGUUGCCGGUGAGGGCUCCCCUUGCUUGUGGCAGUGAAGGUGGCCCUUGCCCAACCCCCUCUAUAACGACCUAAAUUUCCACAAAAUUAAAUAUUGAAUGAGUAUAUAAAUUAACUUCACUUCAAUUCUUCGAUAAAUAAUGAACUUAUCCCCAAUUGUAUAAGUAAUUUAACCGUAGCUAACAUACUUCAAAACCUUAUGUACAGAAACCCAUCUUCACUUUUGCUACACAUUUUGAUUCAAUCCUUACUAGUGAUCUUCGGAAGCGUUAACCUAAUGCUUAUGAAUUCCUAACUCGACAAAUCUGAGAAAUAUAUUAGGGUGAGCCUAAGCUUUGUAAAUGAACUCUCUAGGUUUGAGGUAGAAGAUCAACUUACCACUUAACUUGGUAUCAAUAAACAACAUGAGCUCAAGCUAUACAAAAUAACAAUGUAUGACAAAUGUAUAAGCAAAUGCUCUAUCUUCACUAUCAUGAUAUGCUAGUGGAAACCAUUAACAACAUUGCAAGUUCAUUCACUCAAAAGCAAGCAUAUGACAUAUUAUUUAAUGAUGAACUAGUAUCACCUAGUAGCUCACUACUAUACACAAGAAUGUACAUAGGCAAGAUUAUACUUAUCAUGGAGCUCACAAACACAUACUAUACUUGUCAGUAGCCAGAACCAUCACAUCUCGACUAAAGAGGCAUUGUCACUCCAACUCAUGAGGGAUGGAAUCAUACAUGCCUUUUGCCAUGCCUCAACCCAUUCAUCACAAGUGUCUUCUACAUCAGCGAUGAUAAAUACGUCACUAUAUAUCCACAUGAUGAUAGUCAACAUACCAUGACUACAAGAGCCAUGUCAUGCCUUGACUAUGUAAGCCAAGUCAUAUCAUGAACACAAAGCCCAUGUCAUACCAUGACUAUAUAGACAUGUUAUAAUAGAAUUUCAUAUCAUCUCAAUCUUAUAGAGAACUGUAUCAUACACUAGAAGAUCCUACUAACUCUAAAGUCUCGUCCACAUACUUAUAAAAGAGAAUUCGCUCUAUAGAGAAUGGCCUACGGCAAAGGUCUUAAUCAUAUGACAUCAUUCACAUACAUUUCAUAGCAACAUAACAAUUGCCAUGUACAUCUCAAUAAUUUGCAAUUUGUCAUGCAGUUAACGAUAGACAAUUAAUAACAUGCACUUCCACACAUAUAACCUCAUUCUUUCCAUGCCAAGCCAUCAUUAUUUAAUUGAAAGCCAUAGAUAAGUGAUCGGUGACUUUUUUUUUUUUUUUGACACAAGUGAUCAGUGACUUAGGAAUGGAUGCUCAUUAUCGACCACAUAAACGUUGACAAUUCAAAGAAUUGACCACUUCAAACAACAACUCAAAGAAUUGGUUUAUGCUAAAUCCAAAGUUGUUUAAUUAUAUGUUACCUUGCGUGAUGCAAAUGGACUAGGUCAAAAAUUGUUUAUCCAAAUCAUGUCAUCAUAGAGAAAAUAUUAAGUGGUCCCAAACCACCAGUCAACGUGCUUCUUGACCAAUCAGGAAGCUCCACAUGGCUCCACGUCAGCAAGUGGUCCUCACCAUAGAAAAUAUGAAUUUCCUCUUUCUUAUCUAAAAAUUUUCUCCUAAUAAUAGGCCUACACACAUUAAUCGCUGCCCUAGGCAUGCUGCGUAGAGUCAUUUCCCUUUCUCUCUCCUCCUUUUUCUCCUUCUGAAGGCAGAACACCAAUGCUUCCUCUCUUCCUUCUUCUCGUGAAUUCAAAAUCUCAGGUUCGCUCGUCUUCACUCUUUGCUCUAGUGCCCUCUCAUUGGGCGUCACUUCUUCGCUCUCUGCUGCAGCGCUCGUGCUCAUUGGGUCUCACUCUACAAAAAUCCAAUGAGACUCCGUUGUCCUAUCAAUCCCCAUAUAACCAAAAAAAAAAAAAAUCCAACAGCAAACUGCAAUUGUUUUUUACGCAGGGAAAGAGGGGGAAAGAGCUCGACUUGGUGGAGUUCAUAUUCACGCUUGCAGUAGGAAACAUCGCAUAGCUCAUGUUGAUGGUGUCAUGUCCCCGCCAAGUCGUCGUUGAGGAUGCCUCCAUGGUGCUCACACUCAUCGCAGCCAAGCACUAGACGAGCAGGCGGGUCGUCCACGUCUUGCUAGGGCCAGACGAGUCAAGAGCUUCUAGGAAUGUGCUAAGAUCUCACGCUUGAUGCGUCGGGUUCAUGGUGGGGAGGCCGAGGACCCUUUUGUCGAACGAGCUUAAGGGCACGUCGAGUUUGUGCUCCUGGAUUGCGGAGGCAAUGACCCGCGCGGGGCGUUCGAGGCAACACGGGAAGGUGGCAAGGGGAUCGUUGUGGGGUAUAAUACCCUUCACGAGGGCACGUUGUGGAGUGAACUGAGAGCUCACUCUUUGCCAAUAUGGGAGGGUGUUAUGGCGACUAGGAUUGCGAAAGUUGCUAAAGCCCACGGCAGGAUUGGCAGUGGCGGAAGGUGUAGGAAGAAGAGCAGAUGGGUAGUUACAGUGGACGACUACACCGGCCAAGAGCGUGUUUUAAGGAUCGUCUCAUCACAGAGGAAACAUAUUGAAGCUUAAGGACAAAAUUCAUUUGGUUUUGGGAUCUACCAGAGAAACAGAGAGGACUAAGACUUUAUGCUGGAUCUAGAUCUCGUGAUCUACACUAACUCCUAAAAUCUUGUAAAUGUAAAUAGCGAUCGAUUGAAUUAUGUAAUGAUAAUCUACAUUUUUUUUUUGACUUUUUCAAUAUGCAAGUUGUGUUUUAUGCAGAGUUUGCCUCCUUUAGGCCCUUGAAACUAUUGAGAACACAUGAAUUUCUGCACGAUCAAGAUCAGGGACUUAAAACACUUAGCUUUCGCUAAACCAAAUCGCGAUUCACCAAACACGUGAUCGAAAGGAGUUUCGGCAAAUCUUGUGGGCUGAGGUUGAUCUAGAGAGUGUCUUACAUUCUUUCUAGGACUUUCAAGUCUUGUCUGAUUGCUUAACAGAUUUUUUUUUGGUCGGGAUUGAAAUUGCAGGAAAAUCGCGUCCUUGUUUUGCCAAUUCAAUUGGCUUUUGCCUUUGCUCAUAGCGCUCCACAUUCUGGUUUCGCAUUUGUGGCUCCUUUUUUUUACCAAUUCCUAAUACUGAUUAAAAGUUGCUAUUAAAAGUUCAAUUUUUUUACACAAAAACAAAAAUCCGAUUUCACUUUGGUUGACAAUUCCCUCCUUGCCAAAAAAAAAUCAAGCAAAAUUCUCGUAGGAUUUUAUACUCCUUAAAUCAAGAGAUUGUGGAAUGAAGACUUCAACUUAAAUCAAGAGAUUGUGGAAUGAAGACUUCAACAUAGGUACAGGAAAUGGGAGAUUGGUGCAAACAAAACUCAAUUUCGUCAUUGAUGAACUAAAUCCAGCAUAAGAUACAAAAAAAAAAAAAAAAGACACUAUUCUCGUUUGAAUUGAAUUGUGAUAGGAAAAUAUUAGCCCUUAAAAUGAACUUAAUUGCAAGAAGAACAACCGAUAAAAACAUCAAAAUCACUACGUGUUAUCCAACUGGCACAAAACUUGGCAAGACAUAAGUAUUCUCGAUGAAAUUGACAAAGAAAAUGGAUGGCUAUGACUAAAAAAUGAAUCCUCACAAUCUAUGAAAGAAUUUGGAGAACUAGAUUGCUCGCCAUUCACUAUGGAGGGAAAGAAUGAACUAUUUUUGUUUUCUAUUUUUAACUCCAAGGCCCAAAAUAGCAUGGAGGUGGCUUCAAAGUACUAUGACAACUUUCUCUGGAGAUACGAGAGAAGCAGCAUCAACUCUGAAACCACACCACCACAUUAAAAUCAAUUAAGGCAACGUUAAAUGUAGAUGGAGAGUUCACUAUUUCUCAGCCUCCCCAUCAUGAACUCGAUGCACCCUCGAUGCACCCCUAAGCUCAUUCGACAAAAGGGUCCUUAGCCUCCCCACUACGAACUCGACGUGUCAAGCGUGGGCUCGUAGUGCGUCCCUAGAGGCUCUUGACUCAUCUAGCCCUAGCGAGACGUGGACGGGCCGCCGCUCACUUGCCCGUCCAGUGCACGGCUGUGACGAGCACAAGCACCAUGGAGGCGUCCUUAGCAGCGGCGAUGGCGGCCUGGUGAGGACACGAUACCAUCACCAUGAGCUGCAUACUGUUUCAUGUCACGAGCAUGGAUAUGAACUCCACCGAGUCAAGCUCAAUCCCUCUCUUUCCCCACAUAAAAAACGAUCAUGGCUUGUUGUUGGCCUUUUUUUUUUUACUCCUUUCCUAAUGGGGACUAAGAGGACAAUGGAGUCUCAUUAGAUUUUUGUAGAGUGAGACCCAAACAAACACGAGCGUCAGAGCAGAGAGUGAAGAAGUGACACCUAACAAGAGAGCGCCGGAGUAGAAAGCAGAAAGCGAAGACAAGGGAACCUAAAAUUUUGAAUCCACGAGAGAAGGAAGGGAGGAAGCAUCAAUCUUCCACCUUUAGAAGGAGAAAAAGGAGAAGAGAGAGAGAGGGAAAUGACCUCCGCAGGAUGGUUAUGGCAGCAAUUAAUAUGUGCAGACUUAUUAUUAGGGGAAAAUUUUAAAUAAGAAAGAGACAAUUCAUUUUUUUUAUGGUGGGGACCACUCGCGGACGUGGAGCCACAUAGAGCUUCCUAAUUGGUCGGGAACGGUCGGACCUAAUAUUUUCUCUAUUUUCAUAUUCUCUUUGGUUUCCACGCCAAAAUCAAUUUUUUAUUUUAAUUAUAACAAUAAUUGAUUCUCGUUAGUCUCCUAUUUCAGUUGACUUCACAGUCGACUUCCCUCUGCACAUUGCUUAAAACAGUAAAACCCCAUUCUCUCUCUCUCUCUACCCCCUGCGCAGGAGAAUCAAUCUGACCAUUCUCAUGGCGGACAACAAGCACGGCGAGGAGCAGCUCUGCACCCUCGAGAAGCGCGGCAACCUCUUCAUCCUCACCCUCACCGGCGCCGGCGAGCACCGUCUCAACCCCAACCUUCUCUCCUCCCUCCGGUCCGCCCUCUCCCGCCUCAAAUCCGACCCCUCCGCCUCCUCCUCCGCCCUCAUCACCACCGCCCACGGCAAGUUCUUCUCCAACGGCUACGACCUCGACUGGGCCCAGUCCUCCGAGCCCCGCCUCCAGCUCAUGUCCUCCGCCCUCCGCUCCCUCGUCCGCGACCUCAUCUGCCUCCCCAUGCCGACCAUCGCCGCCGUCACCGGCCACGCCUCCGCCGCCGGCAUGAUGCUGGCCCUCAGCCACGACUACGUGGUCAUGCGGCGCGACCGGGGCUUCCUCUACAUGAGCGAGAUGGACAUCGGGCUGGUGAUAUCCAACUGGUUCAUGGCCUUGAUGAGGUCCAAGAUCGGCGACCCGAGGGCCCGGCGCGAGGCGCUGAUGCGGGCGGCGAAACUGACUGCCGAGGACGGGGUGAGAAUGGGGAUUGUUGAGUCGGCCCAUGACGGCGCGGAGGCGACGGUGGCGGCGGCGGCCGAGCUGGGGGAGGCGUUAGUCACGAGGAAGUGGGACGGACACGUGUACGCUGGGAAUCGGAGGGUGGUGCUGCGGGAGGUGCUGGAGGCCCUCGGAUCCGAUGAGACGGUCGAGAAAGUGGCGGAGGAUAAGGCCUGGUCGAAAUUGUAGUUGGGCUUUCUCUUGAGGCCAGUUUGGAGUGAUCUUGUGAAAUCGUUCGGCCCGUUGUGUCUUUAGAUGUACAAGAUGUUGUCCUGUGGGACCCUUGGUAUUAUACGUAUUAGAGUAUAAUAAGGUGGCCGACAAAAAGAUGAGAUCGUCCUGUGGGGCACUUGCAACAUGAGAACUUUACAAUUAUCAAUUACUGCAAUUAUAUGGUAAUAUCGGUAUUUUUUGUGUUGUACUUAUACAUGUCUUUUAUAUCAUAUAGCCUUACAUGUUCAAAUCUAGAAUUCCGUCUGUCAUGAAAUUGGCCAAACCCCCAACUUUUAAGGUCCGUUUAUUUGGUGAAAAAUUAUUAAUUUUCUGAAAAAUAUUUUUGAAAAGCCAUUUUUUUUAAAAAGUAACUUUAUUUUAUGGUGAUUAACUGAAACUUGAAAGGGACAUAAAAAGUUUUUAUAUUGUUUAGUAACGAAAAUCAGGGAAAAUUAUAAAAAAAAAAAAUCAUACUCUUUUUGCUUCUUCCUAGGCUAGACGUUGCCACGGUGAUAAUUGGCAAUGGCCACAAAUAGGCAAGCUUAAGCCUCAUUAGCCUCAAGUGAGCUUUACUUACUGGAUUUGGCAAGACUUGAACUCAUUAAACGUCACUUUGUUUCUGUAUAUAAAUAUUUUUGUAAGAGCAAACGUUUCUUUAAUGAAUGACCCAAGUCUGAGCGAAAAGAAAAAGUACAAAAAAAGUUAUAAAUAUAUAGUAUUUGUACAAAUUUAGUUUUAAAUCUUUCAAUUGAACUAAUUUAGUCAUAAAUAUUUUUAUAUUGAUACCAAUUUAAUACUUCUGGCCAAUUUUGGCCUACCAGUUAUGAUGUGGACGCCGUUCGGCCAACAAACAUUGGCGUGGUAAUUUUAAAUAAUUUUUUUUUUCAAAUUUUUUUAUUAAAUUUUUCCUUGCUACCCCUCCCCCCUUAUCCUUUUCGUCUUCUUCCUCUUGGGCUUUUUCCCCUACAGUGGUUAGUGAACCUCCGGCAACAAGCAUUGCGGCCCUUGCCCAACGUUAAUGAGGGCUUCGCAAUCCUCGCCUAACCUCACCUAGGGUUGCAGGCGAGGUGACUUUGCCUAGAUUUGGUCCUUGCCCAUUGUUCGCCGAGGGCUUUGCAUUCCCUUAGUGAAUGGCGCCAUGGCCUUGCCAGCUACGAGUGAAGCCACCUUCGCCUACGGCUAGGCCAUGGCAAGGUUGGCCUCACCUAGUGGUCGACAAGCUGCCAGAGGUUCGCCGGCCACUGCAAGAGAAGAAGGCUAAGAGGAAGGAGAGGAAAAAGGAAAAAAAUUAAUAAAAAAUUCGAAUAAAAAAUAUUUAAGAAUUGUCAUGUUAGCAUUCAUCAGCCUACUAGAAUCUAUGUUGAUGCUAGCCGAUCAAAAUUAACCUAAAGGAUUGAAUUGAUACUAGUGUGGAAAGAUUUAGAAUUAAAUUGGUGCAGUUAAAAAGUUUAUGAUUAAAUUAGUACUAAUAUUAUACAUUUAUAACUUUUUAAGUACUUUUCCCCAAGUUUGAGUGCCAACAUCCUGUACACAGCAUUUGUGGGCCUAGGCUCAAGUGUUGGGACCAAAGCUUGAGUGCCAACAAUCCAAGCAUGGCAUUUAUGGACCCAAGCUCAAGUGCUGGAGCAAUGGGUACGAGCACCUAAAUGCUCAUACCAAGGAACCAAUAUUGGAGUUUUUGUAUCUAAGUGUAGAGUUUCAGGUCUAACUAUCGAUAUCUAUUAAUAUUUUGGAAAACAUUUUGCGAUUAUUUCAUAAAAAGGAAUUUAUAUUCCCCAAUUUAAGUUUUGAUAAGAAAAUGUCAAUAAUAUUUUAUUUUGAUUCAUUUUCUUAAGCGAAUCAAACAGUUAAAAUGUUUUCUCGAAAAAUAUUUUUCACAAAACAAACGAAUGGUAAAGUAUAUUUUCAAUUAUAAUUAUUUUUAUUUUUUUAUGGGCUUUAUUGCUGUUAGCCAGUUUAGUAUUUAAUUUCUUUAAAAAAAAAAAAACCCCCAUAAAAACCCUAUCAGCGCAUUUCCUGCAAAACCCUGCGAAAACCGUAAGCACCCGGAGUUUCAGCGCGCUCCACCGGCGUCUCCCUCCAUUUCACUCGCAGCUCCUCCUCCUCCUCCUCCUCCUCCUUCUUCAUCGGGUCGUGGCUCGACGUGAAGAACCUGAAAUUGUAAUCGGAGGUCACUCUGCAUCUCGACCUCCAGUCCGAGGACAAAGCGAUCUCGUUCUCCGCCAUCAACAUCGAGCGCGACCAACUGUUCUUCACUUCCUCGGGGAACCCGCGUCUACACCACUCACCUCUCUUCUUUCCAGGUAAGGUUGUGAGGGCUUUCUGUAGCUACGCGGUUCCGUUGGUUGAUGACGAGGAAUUAGGUUGACCGGAGGCGGAGCGCGGCGGGAUUCUUUUGGGAUCGUUCGAGUUGGGAUUUUGAAAAUUACCGGGCCGCGUAGGUUUCUGAGUCUGUUAAAUCGAGAAAUUUGAAAAAGGGAGCUUGUUUUGGUUAAAGACGGAAGAACACUCUUAUUUUUGUUCUGAUUUUUAUGCGCUAUCUAUUGCUUGCAUAUCUCCUCUCUUGUUCCGAUAAAAAGACCAUUGAUGCCUCCCUUUCAUGGAAAAUGAGUAAUUUAGAAAGCACUUUUCAAAAAAUUCGCUCACAAAAGUAAAUGAAUGGAAAUUUUUUUCAUCGUUCAUGAAAAUAGUUAGGAAUAGAUUGUUUUCGACAAAAAAAAAAGUUUCUGUUGACUAAUUUUUUGGGCUGAGGUUGAUCUGGAGAGUGUCUUACAUUCUUUCUAGGACUUUCGAGUCUUGUUUGAUUGCUUGAUGGAUUUAUUUUUUUGGUUGGGAUUGAAAUUGCAAAAAAGUCGUGUCCUUAUUUUACCUAUUCAAUUGGCUUUGCCUUUGCUCAUAGCGCUCCACACUAGGUUAGACGGACACUCUUCGGACCCUUCGUGUCGUGUCCAACACUCUAACACGUGUCCAACACGCUCCGACAAGCGGUCAACGCGUGUCGAAAAAUUCGACACGCGGUCAAUUGCCUUUGACACACUCCGACACGCGAGUCGGAAAUUCUGACAUGUGACUCCAACACGCACUGGGUUAUUUUUACAAAUUUUCAAAACUUUUGGGAUCUAAAUAUAAGUAUAUAAAAAUAAUAAUAAAUAAUAAAAGCUAAAACAAAUUUCCAAUACUCAUUUGAAGAUGUUGGGGUGCUUGAAGUUGCUCACUGGGCUUCAGAACCCAUAUGCUUUACACAGGGAAUUCGGCUGCGCUUUUUCACUUGAUGAGUCGGAGAUGAGUCUUUUAUUUUUUUUAAGAAGAAGUGGAUAAUGUGGAUGAAUGAAUUUUUGUUAUAUUUGAUGAUGGAAUAUUGAUUGUUUUUUUUUCUUAUUGUUAAAUUUUAAAUUUAAUAGUGGAACGUGGAUUACUUGUUUUUUCCUCCAAGUUUUAUGGAUUAUUAUAAUGAAAUAUAAUUGAAUUUGUCAAAUUAAAAUAAUGAAUGCUAUUAACAAAUGUAGGAUUAAUGUUUUUAUUAUAGAUUAAUUCUAGGCUAUUUUCAUUAUUAUUUAGUUAUUUAUACAUUUAUAUAUUAAAAUAUUUAUUUAAUAUAUAACGUGUCGAAAUUCUCUACUUUUGAGAAAUAACGUGUCGGCGUGUCAUAUCGUAUCGUGUCUAACGUGUCGAAAUUCUCUAUUUUUGAGAAAUAACAUGUCGGCGUGUCAUAUCGUAUCGUGUUGCGUGUCAUGUGUCCGUCUCGGUGCAACCUAGGCUCCACAUUUUGGUUUUGCAUUUGUGGCUCCUUCUUUUUUACCAAUUCCUAAUACUGAUUAAAAGUUGCAAUUAAAGUUCAAUUUUUUUACUAGAGACAAAAACAAAAUUCUGAUUUCACUUUGGUAGACAAUUUCCUCCUUGCCAAAAAAAAUUCAAGUGAAAUUUUUGUCGGGAUUUUAUACUCCUUAAAAUCAAGAGAUUGUGGAAUGAAGACUUCAACAUAGGUACACAAAAUGGGAGACUAGUGCAAACAAAACUCACUUUCAUCAUUGAUGAACUAGAUCCAACAUAAGAUACAAAAAAAGAAAGAAAAAGAAAGCACUAUUCUCGUUUGAAUUGAAUUGUGCUAGGACACUAUUAGCCCCUAGAAUGAACUUAACCGCAAGAAGAACAGCCGAUAAAAACAUCAGGAUCACUACAUGUUAUCUAACUACUAGCAUAAAAUUUGGCAAGACAUAACUAUUCUCGAUGAAAUCAACAAAGAAAAUGGAUGGCUACGACUAAAAAAUGAACCCUCAAAAUCUAUGGAAGAAUCUAGAGAGCUAGAUUGCAGGCCAUACACUGUGGAGGAAAAGAAUGAACUAUUUUUGUUUUCUAUUUUUAACUCUAAGGCACAAAAUAGCAUGGAGGUGGCUUCAAAGUACUACAACAACUUUCUUUGGAGAUACGAGAUAAGCAGCAUCAACUCUGAAACCACACCACCCUGCACAUUAAAAUCAAUUAAGGCAACGUUAAAUGUAGAUAGAGAGUUCACAAUUUCUCGGCCUCCCCACCAUGAACUCGACGUGCCCCUAAGCUCAUUCGACAAAAGGGUCCUUAGCCUCCCCCAUGAACUUGAUGCACUAGGCAUGAGCUUGCAGUGCGUCCUUGGAGGCUCUCGACUUGUCUGGCCUUGGCGAGAUGUGAACGACCCGCCCACCCAUCUAGUGCCGCAACUAGUGCAAGUGCCAUGGAGGCGUCCUCAGUGGUGGUGGCGGCGGCCUAGUGAGGACACGACGCCAUCAUCAUGAGCUACAUACUAUUUCUUGUCACGAGCAUGGAUAUGAACUCCGCUGAGUCAUGCUUUUUCUCUAUCUUUCGCCACUCAAAAAACAAUCACGGCUUUCUGUUGGUUUUUCUUUUUUUUUUUUUUUGGUUCUCCUUUUCUAAUGGGGACUGAGAGGAUAAUGGAGUCUCGUUGGAUUUUUGUAGAGUGAGACCCAACGAACACGAGCACCGGAGCAGAGAGUGAAGAAGUGACACCCAACGAGAGAGCAUCGGAUUAGAGAUCAAAGACAAGGGAACUUGAAAUUUUGAAUUCACGAGAGGAAGGAAGAGAGAAAGCAUCAAUCUUCCACCUUCGGAAGGAGAAAAAGGAGGAGAGAGAAAGGGAAAUAACUCUUCGCAAUAGGUUUAUGGCAGCAAUUAAUGUGCAAACUUAUUACUAGGGCAAAAAUUUUAAAUAAGAAAGAAAAAAUUCAUAUUUUCUAUGGUGGGGACCACUCACUAACGUUGAGCCACAUAGAGCUUCCUGAUUGGUUAGGAACGGUCAGACCUAAUAUUUUUUCUAUUUUCAUCUUCUCUUUGGUUUCCACAUCAAAAUCAAUCUUUUAUUUUAAUUAGGGUUAAUAUCCUGAAAAACCAAAAACCGAUACACUUAUGACAAAUUUAUCCAAACUAUAGCCUAAACUCGUAUACCUUUAAUAAAUUUACCACAAUCUAGUACACCUAUGACAAAUUUAUUCUCUAUUAAUUUUCGUUAAAUUUUAUUGUCAAAUUAUUAAGUUAAAUGACAUCUGACAAUUGACUGGUAUACCAAUUUGAGAUUUUACGCUAUGUUUGUUAUAAUUUACAAUUUUUGUAUUUUUUUUGUAAUAUUAAUCAAUUUUAGUGGAAGGUAUAUUUGUUAUAAAUUUAUCAGUUUAAUAUUUUUUUUGCGGUCGAACCACCGCUCGCGGUGGCACAGCUAGCUUCGGGCUUUUCUCCCCCUCAUGAAGAUGAGGAGUUUGAAUCCCAGAAGAGUCACAUUCGCGCGACUCACCCGCGGCUGGGUCUAUGGUGGUGACUCAGUUUCCCUCGGGUUAACACCGCCAGCCGGCUGUACAGUGGUUCUCGGGUCACCAAAAAUAUAUAUAUAUAUAUAUAUAUAUAUAUAUAUUUUGCGGUCAAAUAAAUUAGUUUGUGGUAAAUUUAUAUCAUUUUAGGAUUUUUUAUGGUUAAUCGGGAUAAAUUUAUCAUAAGUGUAUCAAUUUAAGAUUUUUCAUAAUCAAAAAUUUAAUUUUUGAUUAAAUUUAUCACAGGUAUGGGUUUGGGUUUUAUAAGGUAUUAACUUUUUGAUUAUAACAAUAAUUGAUUCUCGUUGGUCUCCUAUUUCAGUUGACUUCCCUCUGCACAUUGCUUGAAACAGCAAAACCCCAUCUCCCUCUCUCUCCCUCUCCGCUACGCAGGAGAAUCAAUCUGACCAUUCUCAUGGCGGACAACAAGCACGGCGAGGAGCAGCUCUGCACCCUCGAGAAGCGCGGCAACCUCUUCAUCCUCACCCUAACCGGCGCCGGCGAGCACCGCCUCAACCCCAACCUUCUCUCCUCCCUCCGGUCCGCCCUCUCCCGCCUCAAAUCCGACCCCUCCGCCUCCUCCUCCACCCUCAUUACCACCGCCCACGGCAAGUUCUUCUCCAACGGCUACGACCUCGACUGGGCCCAGUCCUCCAAGCCCCGCCUCCAGCUCAUGUCCUCCGCCCUCCGCUCCCUCGUCCGCGACCUCAUCUGCCUCCCGAUGCCCACCAUCGCCGCCGUCACCGGCCACGCCUCCGCCGCCGGCAUGAUGCUGGCCCUCAGCCACGACUACGUUGUCA